rnacentral:rRNA from 1 species
GACGAACGCUGGCGGUGUGCUUCACACAUGCAAGUCGAACGAGGUAGCAAUACCUAGUGGCGGACGGGUGAGUAACGCGUGGGAAUCUGCCCAUAGGUGGGGGAUAACUAGCCGAAAGGUUAGCUAAUACCGCAUAUGCCGAAAGGUAAAAGGAGUAAUCCGCCUUUGGAUGAGCCCGCGUCCGAUUAGCUAGUUGGUAGAGUAAAAGCCUACCAAGGCGACGAUCGGUAGCUGGUCUGAGAGGAUGAUCAGCCACAAUGGGACUGAGACACGGCCCAUACUCCUACGGGAGGCAGCAGUGGGGAAUUUUACGCAAUGGGGGAAACCCUGACGUAGCGACACCGCGUGAAUGAAGAAGCCCUUUGGGGUGUAAAAUUCUGUCGGCUGGGAAGAAAAAAAUGACGGUACCAGCAAAGGAAGCAAUCGGCUAACUACGUGCCAGCAGCCGCGGU